UACGUAGGGUGCGAGCGUUGUCCGGAAUUAUUGGGCGUAAAGAGCUCGUAGGCGGCUUGUCGCGUCGGAUGUGAAAGCCCGGGGCUUAACUCCGGGUCUGCAUUCGAUACGGGCAGGCUAGAGUUCGGUAGGGGAGAUCGGAAUUCCUGGUGUAGCGGUGAAAUGCGCAGAUAUCAGGAGGAACACCAGUGGCGAAGGCGGCUCACUGGCUCGACACUGACGCUGAGGUGCGAAAGCGUGGGGAGCAAACAGG
rnacentral:rRNA from 1 species